GGUCGUCGAUGCCUUUCACUUGGAUCAGAUGGCUGGCGGUCAAUCACGCGCGGCCGCGGGCGGGCAGCGCACCGGCGGAGACAAUGGACGGAGAGACGCAGUUCAAGUGCAGGCGUGCACCCAUCUGACAUCGAGACACGCAGUAAACAAAGUGCCACUCCACGAAUGAAGAACGAGCACAGCACCGAGUACGUUACAGCCGCCAGUAACUCGGCAAGUGUUGGAAUUUCAUGCACAAAAAGAAAUACGACUUGAUAAUUAUUGUUAAGGUUGAUAAUCUUCGCCUGGUAGCAAGCUACGUUUUAAGCUAGUUAAGGCUAUUUUAGAAACAUUUAAAAAAUAUAUUUGUUGAAAUUUUCUCAGACAGCAAUAUGUGGAAUGUUAGGACAACAAAAUGUUGGACAAAGGUCAAUGUACAAAUCAUAUUUAAAACACUUCAAACAAAAAAAGCUUUUAAUAUUUUUUAUUAUUACAUCCAUUAUAACUUUUCCCAUUCAACAUUGGCAGGCAGUACUUGUUUUUAGGCAGAACAACAUGGCGGUAGUUCUAGAGUAAAAGCAUUAAGCGGAAAAAUAAAAAAUGCUGUGUACAAAAAUACAACCUCACUGUACAAACGCAGCACCCUAAAAAGCAAAGAGAUGGGAAACUCGUUGGAUCCGUCUCCACUGGUGUAUGGCACUUUUAAUGACUGAACACAUUUACCAAGUGUGUGUCACGCUGGUUGGUCACUAACAAAUUCUCUAAGAUGUGUGUUUGGUGGGACUGGAUGAGAUAAAACUACUUUUGUGUAGAAAUCUACUGAAUCACUACCAUCCAGAAUGAUAUUUUUUAUUGGUAUAGAGGAGACUUUUUUGUAAAAAGCUGCAUCAUUCAUUCAUUUAUGUGUGCACGUUAGUGGCUGGGAAAAGCCUCUCGGAAAUGUAAUUAUUGGAUGAGAUUGAUUUUCAGUAUUUCUUCUUUAAAUCGAGUUUGUACAUAAAUUGUCAAUAGUCAUUUUGUUUUUAGACCUUAAUUGGUCGAUGCAUGCUGUUAUGCGCAGCGGACUGCAAACACUCAACCGUACAAAUUGGAACAAAUCAAUGACCACUCAAACUGCCUCUUGUGAAUAUCCAACAAUACAGUCACUGUAACAACAUACAGUCCGAUUGAACACAAGACUUUUUUUCUGAUGCUUCUAUCCACUUUGAAAGUACCUGAGAACCUGUUCAGGAAAAAUACAGGAUCUCAUAAAAAUGCAGCCAUCUUAUAAAGAAUGAUAUGGUCAAACCGAGCAGCACUGAAGAUGUAGAUUCCAAAAAAAGAUCAAUUUUCACAAGUGUCAAAACAGAUCUUGGUCCCUCGUGAGACAGAAAGUGUGCACCGUAUUGGUAAAGCUGUCUGGAAAAUCUCUCGUGCAACAUAAAACAAAGAGUGUCAUGCAUUUUUCAUGAAGAUCAAUAAUCAUUCCUAAUCUUUUCACUGACUUAGCAGCAACACGGCAGAUCAAAACGUGACAAGGAUGACUUGCAGGAACCAUUUAAGAAGAAAGCAAAAUGUGAUUCUCUGUCUUUUUUUACUACUUGAAGCCAUUCACGAGUGAAACGCUGAAGAAAUGCUGAGCAAACUUACUGAACACUUGGGAAAGAUCAGCUGAAAGCUCUAGAUAUGUCAGCUUCGACAGCAGCAGCAUCUUACUCUGUCCAUCAUGCGUCAUGGGGUAUGCAAAUGUGAAAAAAAAACAAAAAAAAUA